rnacentral:rRNA from 1 species
GAUGAACGCUGGCAGAAUGCUUAACACAUGCAAGUCGACUUGAACUUCGGUUUGUGUGGCGGACGGGUGAGUUACGCGUAGAGAACUUGCCUCACAGCUAGGGACAACAUUUGGAAACGAAUGCUAAUACCGGAUAUUAUGAUUUUAGGGCAUCCUAGAAUUAUGAAAGCAAUAUGCGCUGUGAGAGAGCUUUGCGUCCCAUUAGCUAGUUGGAGAGGUAACGUCCCACCAAGGCGAUGAUGGGUAGCCGGCCUGAGAGGGUGAACGGCCACAAGGGGACGGAGACACGGCCCUUACUCCUACGUGAGGCAGGAGUGGGGAAUAUUGGACAAAGGACCAAGAGUCUGAUCCAGCAAUUCUGUGUGCACGAUGAAGUUUUUCGGAAUGUAAAGUGCUUUCAGUUGGGAAGAAAAAAAUGACGGUACCAACAGAAGAAGUGACGGCUAAAUACGUG